AAUGAACGUUGGCGGCGUGGAUUAGGCAUGCAAGUCGAGCGAGAACCGUAGCAAUACGGGGACAGCGGCGAAAGGGAGAGUAACACGUGGAUACCUACCCUCAGGUUCAGGAUAGCUGUGGGAAACUACAGGUAAUACUGAAUAAUAUCUCCGGAUCAAAGGUGUGAUUCCACCUGAGGAGGGGUCCGCGUCCUAUUAGCUAGUUGGCGAGGUAACGGCUCACCAAGGCAAAGAUGGGUAUGGGGUGUGAGAGCAUGCCCCCACUCACUGGGACUGAGACACUGCCCAGACACCUACGGGUGGCUG
rnacentral:rRNA from 1 species